rnacentral:lncRNA from 1 species
AUGAACCUGAGAGAGCAGGAGAAAUACAGAGUGGACAGUUUGAAAGAGCUUGAACGGAAGACCAAACCAGCCGCAGACGUCACGACCAACGACACGAAGCCAGAAGAAAAACCUCCACCUCCUCCUCCACCUCCCAAAAAGACUCUGAUGGAUGAACUCAACGAUGUUCUGAAAAUGAAUCUGUUACUAAAUGGGUUUGCAGAACCAGAACGAACUCAGUCUUCAGAGGAAGUGCCUGCUAACGACACUGGAGGAACUUUAAGAAACUCCCCGAGGGUUAGCCAGAAAUCAGGUCAGAAGACAAAUUUGGGUCGGAAGCCAGCUUUUAAAGGACUCGAAUGGAUAGAAAUGGCAAGAAGAGAUCAAGUUUUAAACAAGUUUGAGGAUGAAGAUAAAAUAAUUGAGACUCCGAUGGUGAUGUGGAAGUACGUAGGGCAAAAUUCUUCAAGAGUCAAUCCUGCAACACCCAAUAAACCUGCAGAACCCUUGAGGCUCCCCACAGCUAGACCACCCAAACUUCCGGAUGAGAUACCAGAUAUCGACUAUCCGACAGAUGAAGAGAACACUUUAAAACUUCCCAACAAGCCCCAAAUCUCCACAGAAAAGUUUCUAAAGCCGUCGGUGGAUAGGAAAUUUUUAUUAAGGAGCAACUCGGAUUUGCAGCUUGUGACUUCGGAUAUCAGGAGAAGCUCCUUAACCAGUCAGUCUGGAGACCUAGAAUCUCUAGAGGUCCGUGGCUUCCCACAAAAUUUAAAGUCACCCGUCUUACGGAAGAGGAGGCCAGGGAGCACAAAUCCGAGUCCCGCUAAUCAGACUUCCAAGCCGUUCAGCCAGGACUUGGGUCAAUCAGUGUCUGCCUCAAACAGCUCGUCCAAUUCGGACUCGGACUGCAACUCGGACUACAAAAGAAUCUCUCUUCCUGUUGUCUUUGUCUCCGAUUCACAGCAAGCUCCCAAAGUGGGCCCCAAACCGAGCCAACCGAACAAAGGAGCCUCCACAGAUGUCCGGAACGUUUCAGAAUCCACUGAGCCAGAAGUGAACCCCCAGAUAUCAAGGCCUAGUUUAAGAGGCAUGAGAAGUGCCUCCAGUCCCAACAUGCUAAGCGAUGGACGGCUCCCUGUGACCCCGACUAGAACGUACCAAUCACCCCAAGAAGAGGACCCUCCCGGGUUAGGAUUUAAUUCCACUUCAUACGUCUCUCCUGUGGAGGGCCUUUUAGAGAGGGCCAAGGAAAGGGGGAAAAGUGGAAUAAAGAGGGACAUGAAUCCAGCCAGUCCUAGAUCAAACCACCAGGCUCGUGUAACCUCAAAUAACCCUUCACCUUCACCCACACCCAGUGACGAAGACAGGAAUGCGGAGGAGGGGGAGGUGGGGAUAAGGAGACGCAGGGCUCUCACCGUGAGCACGAGAUGGAAAGAGCAGCUGGUGGAUGGAGAUGAGGACGACAGGAGUACCGUCUUCUUGGAUGGUGAAAACGUCGACUGGCCAGGCUGGUGCUUCGAUGACGAGGAAGUGCUGAAUUACCUGAGUCCUAGGAGCCAAGGACUUCCAGAAGGAUCAAGCCGAUCGCCGGCCAACUGGGUUCACCUCGAAAGUCACGACGACGGGGAAUGUAGUCAGGUGUAG